rnacentral:rRNA from 1 species
GUCUUUUUGAUUAUAAUUUAAAGUCUAAUCUGCCCACUGAUAGAUAUUAAAGGGCUGCAGUAUAUUGACUGUACAAAGGUAGCAUAAUCAUUAGUUUUUUAAUUGGAAACUCGUAUGAAAGAUUUGAUGAAAUAUAAUCUGUCUCUUAGUUAUUAUUAAAAUUUUAUUUUUUAGUUAAAAAGCUAAAAUAAAUUUAAAAGACGAGAAGACCCUGUAGAGUUUUAUAUUUUACUAUAUUUUAAAAAUUUAUAAAAUUAAUUUUUAAAAUAUAGUAAAAUAUUAUGUUGGGGUGACAGAAAAAUUAAAUAAACUUUUUUUAAAAAUUAAACAUUAAUAAAUGAAUAGAUGAUCCAUAAAUAAUGAUUAUAAGAAAAAAUUACCUUAGG